UGUAGAGGCGGCAGCGAGCUAGAGCCCGUGUCGCAGCUCCGGGCCACAGAAAGGCCGGGCGAGCUCGAGCGCAAAGGGACACCUGGACAAGGCACGCGGGCAGCUCUGCGCGCGGCUAGUACGUACCUGGUGGAGGGGCAGCGGGAGUGGGCGACGCUGGUGCAAGGAUGGAGAGAAAGGACUGAGCCAGAGAAACUGGGGUCAUGGUAUACUGAAAAGGCACUUGGUCAAGUAAUCUGGGGGGAGUUGGAAACCAUCAAGUCAUUGUGGCCACGCAGCAAGUAGAAAAGACAGAGUUUCUACUAGAUCUUUACCAAGACCUGUAUGCAAGUGUUU